GUAGGGAAUAUUGGGCAAUGGAGGCAACUCUGACCCAGCCAUGCCGCGUGCAGGAUGACGGCCCUCUGGGUUGUAAACUGCUUUUAUACGGGAAGAAAAAAUACUACGUGUAGUAUACUGACGGUACCGUAAGAAUAAGGAUCGGCUAACUCCGUGCCAGCAGCCGCGGUAAUACGGAGGAUCCAAGCGUUGUCCGGAUUUAUUGGGGUUAGAGGGUGCGUAGGCGGAUCUUUAAGUCAGUGGUGAAAGCCUGCAGCUUAACUGUAGAAUUGCCAUUGAAACUGAAGAUCUUGAAUGUGGUUAAAGUAGGCGGAAUGUAUCAUGUAGCGGUGAAAUGCUUAGAUAUGAUACAGAACACCGAUAGCGAAGGCAGCUUGCUGAACCAUUAUUGACGCUGAGGCACGAAAGCGUGGGGAGCGAACAGGAUUAGAAACCCGUGUAGUCC
rnacentral:rRNA from 1 species